GAUGAACGCUGGCGGCGUGCCUAAUACAUGCAAGUCGAGCGAACAGACGAGGAGCUUGCUCCUCUGACGUUAGCGGCGGACGGGUGAGUAACACGUGGAUAACCUACCUAUAAGACUGGGAUAACUUCGGGAAACCGGAGCUAAUACCGGAUAAUAUAUUGAACCGCAUGGUUCAAUAGUGAAAGACGGUUUUGCUGUCACUUAUAGAUGGAUCCGCGCCGCAUUAGCUAGUUGGUAAGGUAACGGCUUACCAAGGCAACGAUGCGUAGCCGACCUGAGAGGGUGAUCGGCCACACUGGAACUGAGACACGGUCCAGACUCCUACGGGAGGCAGCAGUAGGGAAUCUUCCGCAAAGGGCGAAAGCCUGACGGAGCAACGCCGCGUGAGUGAUGAAGGUCUUCGGAUCGUAAAACUCUGUUAUUAGGGAAGAACAAACGUGUAAGUAACUAUGCACGUCUUGACGGUACCUAAUCAGAAAGCCACGGCUAACUACGUG
rnacentral:rRNA from 1 species